rfam:Myotis brandtii contig196323, whole genome shotgun sequence.
AACCCCUGGCAAGGAGACACCUGAUUGGUGGCGUUGCUCUUAUAUCAAUCAGGGGCAAAGGAGAUGUAUAGUCCUUAGUUCAUCCUAGCUUGAUGCCUAUGUCUGUGGCCAGAGCCGUUUCAUGUCUGAUGCACAUAA